rnacentral:rRNA from 1 species
AGAUGGACCCGCGGCGCAUUAGCUAGUUGGUAAGGUAACGGCUUACCAAGGCAACGAUGCGUAGCCGACCUGAGAGGGUGAUCGGCCACAUUGGAACUGAGACACGGUCCAGACUCCUACGGGAGGCAGCAGUGGGGAAUAUUGCGCAAUGGGGGAAACCCUGACGCAGCAACGCCGCGUGGGUGAUGAAGGUCUUCGGAUUGUAAAGCCCUGUUUUCUGGGACGAUAAUGACGGUACCAGAGGAGGAAGCCACGGCUAACUACGUGCCAGCAGCCGCGGUAAUACGUAGGUGGCGAGCGUUGUCCGGAUUUACUGGGCGUAAAGGGUGCGUAGGCGGAUGUUUAAGUGGGAUGUGAAAUCCCCGGGCUUAACCUGGGGGCUGCAUUCCAAACUGGAUAUCUAGAGUGCAGGAGAGGAAAGCGGAAUUCCUAGUGUAGCGGUGAAAUGCGUAGAGAUUAGGAAGAACCCAGUGGCGAAGGCGGCUUUCUGGACUGUAACUGACGCUGAGGCACGAAAGCGUGGGUAGCAAACAGGAUUAGAUACCCUGGU